ensembl:lncRNA
ACUGGUUUUGCUUUCAAACCAGAACAUAUUUUUGGCCACCCAACGUGGGGCAAGAAAGCACUGAGAGAAGUCAGAAUUACAAUCUUGUAUUGUAGAGGGUAUCUAUUCACUAUGAUGCUCAACAUGCUUUUUUGGGCCUCAUACCUAGCUCUCUAUAUUUUCCCGAAUGUGGGGAAUUAUGUGGCAAUUGUAAUGCUCAUGUGUAGACCAGGGUAUGGUAUGAGAAUUGCCUUAUUGGUCUACUAUGUCUAUCGCAUUAUGACCUCUGAGGCAAUGAACAUGAUUUGGAAUAUGUACUCAAUUCUGUUUGCUUGUCCUAAUCUAGGCUGCUACAUCUGGGGCCUCGGCAACCUCACCCAGCCCCUGGGGGGAGGGGUAAAGAUUGAUUUUUUCCAACCUUUCAGGCUUGACACAGCAGUUUUUGAAAAUGUUAAAUUCCCUCUGGAUGCCAAGGACAGCAUAAUGUUGUUGUUAGUUCUUCUUUGUCUCCUCUGCACAGUCUGCAACAUGCUUAGAAACAAAACACUACAUAGUGUGAUGCAGCAAAACAUACAUAGUGUGGUGCAGCGUCUUCUUGAGGAAGAGGAAACAAGAAGCAAAGCAGCAGUGUCCGUGCCUGUACAGAAUACCACAACAGCAGCCAUGUCAACGCAGACUGCCACAGAGAAAGAAGGAACCAAAAGGAAAACAACAGUGUCCGUGUCUACGCAGACUGUCAUGGAGGAAGAAACAAAAAGCAAAGCAAAGGUGUCUAUGUCUACACAGACCGGCACAGAGGAGGAAGGAAUCGAAAGUGCCAUCAGCAUCUCCACACAAACCAUCACCAAACCAGAGCAGCCUGAACCCAUAGGGGUUGCCCCUGUUCAGAAGAAGAAAUCGAGGAGCAAAUCAGUCCGCAUAGUGACUGAUGAGGACACUGCAGGACCCUCGCACCCAGUGGAAGAGACAGAACCAGAGAUCAUCACUCGCUCUCUAUCCCUGGGUGAGCUACGUGACCUGCGGAGAGAAUUCACCCGCCAGACAAAUGAGUCCAUCCUCACCUGGCUUCUCCGCAUCUGGGACGCUGCAGCCAAUGACACCAUUCUGGAUGGAAGUGAGGCCAGGCAACUGGGAUCACUAUCCCGGGAUGUGGUCAUUGACCAGGGGAUUGGGAGAACCCAAGAAACUCUCAGCCUCUGGCGGCGACUGCUUGCAAGUGUGAAGGACAGAUACCUUUGUAAAGAAGACCUCCAGGUACUCCAAGGAAAAUGGAAUACCAUGGAACAAGGUAUCCGAUGCCUAAGGGAAUUGGCUGUGUUGGAGAUAAUUUUUGCAGAAGACGAAAGAUUUCCUAAGAGUCCAGACUGUGUCCAGUGCACAUCACAAAUGUGGUUGAGAUUUGCACGGCUUGGACCAGAGAUGUACGCUCGUUACCUGGCAACACUGCAGUGGAGAGAAGGCGAGGACAGGGUGGGCGUCCUAGCCAAUAAGUUAAGAAUUUACGAGGACACGGUCACCGCCCCGUUUCGUACCCAUGUCUCGUCCGUGGAAACAAGGUUGGCUGAGCAAGUCCGGGACUUGAUUGAAGAGAGUCAUAAGAAACUAAAAAAGGAACUUAAGGAAGAAGGCUACCAUAUUUUACCAGAACCAACAAGAAUCUCUGCCAUUAGGAGCCAGCGCUCCCAAGCCAAGGAGAGAGGAUACACUCCACGAGGAAACCUCUGGUUUUUUCUUCAGGAGCAUGGAGAAGACAUGAGGAAGUGGGAUGGAAAACCCACCUCUUCCUUAGCAGCCCGAGUACGUGAACUAAAAAGAACACCUAACACAAAAAGAGUAAAUGCUGCUCCAGUCUCUCAAACACAGAGUUCCAGACAAUAUAAGAAUAAUGAUAUAACUGAUCCUCUUGAAGGAACCUCAAGAACCUAUUUACCAGAAGAGAGCAACGUGUACCAUGACCAGGAAUAGAGGGGCCCUGCCUCUAGCCAGGUAGAGGACAGGGACAAUCGGAU